UACGAGGGGAGCAAGCGUUGUUCGGAUUUACUGGGCGUAAAGGGCGCGUAGGCGGCGUGACAAGUCACUUGUGAAAUCUCCGGGCUUAACCCGGAGCGGUCAAGUGAUACUGUCGUGCUAGAGUGCGGAAGGGGCUACUGGAAUUCUCGGUGUAGCGGUGAAAUGCGUAGAUAUCGAGAGGAACACCUGCGGCGAAGGCGGGUAGCUGGGCCGACACUGACGCUGAUGCGCGAAAGCCAGGGGAGCGAACGGG
rnacentral:rRNA from 1 species